rnacentral:tRNA from 1 species
CAGUAGUUUAGAUGGUAAAAUGAUUGUCUGGCAAACAACAGUCGUGGGUUCAAAUCUCACCUG